GAUUUUGUAGUAUAUAACCAAACACUUACCUAAUACAGUAAACUGCAACUUUACCGAAGCUGAAGCCAAAAUCU
rnacentral:tRNA from 1 species